rnacentral:lncRNA from 1 species
UCCUUUCCUGACACUCCCUCCCUCAUCUUCAUUUCCAGGUAUUUUCAGGACUGCAGAGAUGAACAUUAGUGAGCCCAAAUGGAAGUGGUGAAGGGAGCAGAGAAGAGGAUGGGCCCGUUUCCCAGAGAAGCAGAAAUGACCAGUAGCUCAGGAGAAGAUGCUGUUUCUUCUGGUGGUGUGACUGUGGCCAAAGAAGGUGGAGGAGGACAGGGAGGAAACCCAUCCAGAUCCUUGUAGGUUGCUGUGAAGGUACUGGAGCAGAAGAGUCUCCUGCCUUAAAUAUCUUGCUAAAUACAUGGCAUUGUUUAUGAAUCUGAUUUUCUUUGUGUUGGAAAUGCUAUUAGGCACAAAUUCAUCUUUAUGUUUCUUUAGUUUUUAACCUUUGAAAAGCAAGUUUGGUGCCAUCUUAGGCUGGCUACCAGUUAAAUUCCACCUCUUAAAUAUUUAUUUUCAGGUCAA